rnacentral:rRNA from 1 species
GACGAACCGUGCGAACGUUGUUCGGAAUCACUGGGCAUAAAGGGCGCGUAGGCGGCUUAUCAAGUCAGGGGUGAAAUCCGGCAGCUUAACUGUCGAAGUGCCUUUGAUACUGAUGAGCUCGAGGGAGAUAGGGGUGUGUGGAACUUCCGGUGGAGCGGUGAAAUGCGUUGAUAUCGGAAGGAACGCCGGUGGCGAAAGCGACACACUGGAUCUCUUCUGACGCUGAGGCGCGAAAGCCAGGGGAGCAAACGGG